AGGCAUCACUUGUGGUUUGGGACAAGAAGCAGCUGGGCAGUAGGCACCACUUGUAGAGGUCGAUCCCACCGAUGAGGCAUUCCUAUUAACAGAUCUUGGGGAGUCCGAGACUUGAGUUGGGAUUAGCUUAGGAAGCGAGCAAGGUACAGACGCUCAUUGUGGUAAUCCGCCAGCUUAGGAUACCCAUUCUACUACUUUGGAGUGCUCCCUUGAUCCGGAGCCCAUACUUUUGGUACACCCAGAUGAGUAGAAGCUAUGAUAGAAGAUGUUCCAGCGGAGUUGGCAAACUCCAUUUGCCCUAGAGUGUUGCCGGGUCAGAGUACUAUGCUAUGAUGUCUUGUUCGAAGUUAGAGACUUUGCAGACAGAGUCGUGGGUAUAGAGUGUCGGUAUUGUAAACGGCUCCACCAGCCUAUGUGUCAUUUUAUGUUAUGUUAUAAAGUCUAUACGAUCAUAAAUUAUAUUUGAAUUGAGUACGA